UGGUCAAGUUAUUAAGGGUGCAGGGCGGAUGCCUUGGCACUAGGAGCCGAUGAAGGACGUGAUAAGCUGCGAUAAGCUUCGGGGAGUUGCACGUAAACUUUGAUCCGAAGAUUUCCGAAUGAGGAAACUCACUUAGAGUAAUGUCUAAGUAUCAUUAAGUGAAUACAUAGCUUAAUGAGGGGAACUCAGGGAACUGAAACAUCUAAGUACCUGAAGGAAGAGAAAGAAAUUCGAUUCCGUAAGUAGCGGCGAGCGAACGCGGAUUAGCCCAAACCAAUAAAGUUUUCUUUAUUGGGGUUGCGGACAUAUCAUAACGAAGAGGUAUCGUAAUUGAAGAGGUUUGGAAAGACCCACCACAGAAGGUAAUAGUCCUGUAUGUUAAACGAGAAGACUUUAGAUAUGAUCCAGAGUACCACGGGACACGUGAAACCCUGUGGGAAGCAGGAGGGACCACCCUCCAAGGCUAAAUACUACCUAGUGACCGAUAGCGUAUAGUACCGUGAGGGAAAGGUGAAAAGAACCCCGGGAGGGGAGUGAAAUAGAACCUGAAACCCUGCACUUACAAGCUGUGGAAGCACAUUUCUUGUGUGACCGCGUACUUUUUGUAGAACGGGCCAACGAGUUACGUUAAGUAGCAAGGUUAAGCACUUAAGGUGCGGAGCCGUAGCGAAAGCGAGUUUUAACUGAGCGUUCAGUUACUUGACGUAGACCCGAAACCGGGCGACCUACCCAUGAGCAGGAUGAAGCGAAAGUAAAAUUUCGUGGAGGUCCGAACCCACGAGCGUUGAAAAGCUCGGGGAUGACUUGUGGGUAGCGGUGAAAUUCCAAUCGAGCCCGGAGAUAGCUGGUUCUCCCCGAAAUAGCUUUAGGGCUAGCAUCAAGGUGAGAGAUACGGAGGUAGAGCACUGAAUGUCCUAGGGGGUAUUGCACCUACCGAAGACUAUCAAACUCCGAAUGCCGUCAUCUUAUACUUGGGAGUCAGACUGUGGGUGAUAAGAUUCAUAGUCGAAAGGGCAACAGCCCAGAUCGUCAGCUAAGGUCCCUAAAUGUAAGUUAAGUGGUAAAGGAUGUGGGAUUGCACAGACAACCAGGAUGUUGGCUUAGAAGCAGCCACUCAUUCAAAGAGUGCGUAAUAGCUCACUGGUCGAGUGAUCCUGCGCCGAAGAUUUCCGGGGCUAAAACUUACUACCGAAGCUACGGCAUCAGUAAUGAUGGGUAGGGGAGCUUCCCAUACGGGUUGAAGCAUGACCGUAAGGACAUGUGGACAGUAUGGGAGUGAGAAUGUUGGCAUGAGUAGCGAGAUGUGGGUGAGAAUCCCACAGGCCGUAAACCCAAGGUUUCCAGGGGAAGGUUCGUCCGCCCUGGGUUAGUCGGGACCUAAGCUGAGGCCGAAAGGCGUAGGUGAUGGACAACAGGUUGAUAUUCCUGUACUACCGAUAACCGUUUGAGAGAAGGGAUGACACAGUAGGAUAAGCUAAGCACACUGUUGGUUAUGUGUGCCCAAGCAUUGAGGCAGUCAAAGUAGGCAAAUCCGCUUUGAUAAUGCUGGGAUGUGAUGGGGAGCGAAAUUUAGUAGCGAAGUAGCUGAUUUCACACUGUCAAGAAAAGUCUCUAUCGAGGUUAAAGGUACCCGUACCGCAAACCGACACAGGUGGGUGAGGAGAGUAUCCUAAGGCCAGCGAGAGAACUGAUGUUAAGGAACUCGGCAAAAUGACCCCGUAACUUAGGGAUAAGGGGUGCCACCAUCAGGUGGCCGCAGAGAAUAGGCCCAAGCGACUGUUUACCAAAAACAUAGGUUUCUGCUAAGUCGCAAGACGAUGUAUAGGAGCUGACGCCUGCCCGGUGCUGGAAGGUUAAGGGGAUCUG
rnacentral:rRNA from 1 species